GAAGAAGAAGAAAAAGAAGAAGGUUGAAAUGAUUUUGUUCUGGCCGCAUAGGAAGAAAGAGAAGACAUGGGUUUGGUAGGGAUGGAUGGAUGAAGAAAGAGAUUGUGAGGAGAUUUUUGAGGCUGAUGCAGAAUCUUCUUAGUUCGAAAAAGGAGAAAUGCGAGAUUGAUUGAUAAUGGGAUUUUGAUCUGCUAGUUGCCAG
rnacentral:misc_RNA from 1 species